rnacentral:rRNA from 1 species
ACGCUGGCGGCGUGCCUAAUACAUGCAAGUAGAACGCUGAAGAGAGGAGCUUGUUCUUCUUGAAUGAGUUGCGAACGGGUGAGUAACGCGUAGGUAACCUGCCUUGUAGCGGGGGAUAACUAUUGGAAACGAUAGCUAAUACCGCAUAACAAUGGGUGACACAUGUCAUUUAUUUGAAAGGGGCAAUUGCUCCACUACAAGAUGGACCUGCGUUGUAUUAGCUAGUAGGUGAGGUAACGGCUCACCUAGGCGACGAUACAUAGCCGACCUGAGAGGGUGAUCGGCCACACUGGGACUGAGACACGGCCCAGACUCCUACGGGAGGCAGCAGUAGGGAAUCUUCGGCAAUGGGGGCAACCCUGACCGAGCAACGCCGCGUGAGUGAAGAAGGUUUUCGGAUCGUAAAGCUCUGUUGUAAGUCAAGAACGAGUGUGAGAGUGGAAAGUUCACACUGUGACGGUAGCUUACCAGAAAGGGACGGCUAACUACGUGCCAGCAGCCGCGGUAAUACGUAGGUCCCGAGCGUUGUCCGGAUUUAUUGGGCGUAAAGCGAGCGCAGGCGGUUUGAUAAGUCUGAAGUUAAAGGCUGUGGCUCAACCAUAGUUCGCUUUGGAAACUGUCAAACUUGAGUGCAGAAGGGGAGAGUGGAAUUCCAUGUGUAGCGGUGAAAUGCGUAGAUAUAUGGAGGAACACCGGUGGCGAAAGCGGCUCUCUGGUCUGUAACUGACGCUGAGGCUCGAAAGCGUGGGGAGCGAACAGGAUUAGAUACCCUGGUAGUCCACGCCGUAAACGAUGAGUGCUAGGUGUUGGAUCCUUUCCGGGAUUCAGUGCCGCAGCUAACGCAUUAAGCACUCCGCCUGGGGAGUACGACCGCAAGGUUGAAACUCAAAGGAAUUGACGGGGGCCCGCA